rnacentral:tRNA from 1 species
GGUUCCAUAGCUCAGUCUGGUUAGAGCACUGGACUCUUAAUCCAGGUGUCGGGGGUUCAAAUCCCCCUGGGACCA